CACUCCUGCGGGAGGCAGCAGUGGGGAAUAUUGGACAAUGGGCGCAAGCCUGAUCCAGCCAUGCCGCGUGAGUGAUGAAGGCCCUAGGGUUGUAAAGCUCUUUCACCGGUGAAGAUAAUGACGGUAACCGGAGAAGAAGCCCCGGCUAACUUCGUGCCAGCAGCCGCGGUAAUACGAAGGGGGCUAGCGUUGUUCGGAUUUACUGGGCGUAAAGCGCACGUAGGCGGACUAUUAAGUCAGGGGUGAAAUCCCGGGGCUCAACCCCGGAACUGCCUUUGAUACUGGUAGUCUUGAGUUCGAGAGAGGUGAGUGGAAUUCCGAGUGUAGAGGUGAAAUUCGUAGAUAUUCGGAGGAACACCAGUGGCGAAGGCGGCUCACUGGCUCGAUACUGACGCUGAGGUGCGAAAGCGUGGGGAGCAAACAGGAUUAGAAACCCCUGUAGUCCCAUGAU
rnacentral:rRNA from 1 species